AGUCAGCAAAGAAUUGAAUAACCAAAAAGGAAACCAGAAUGAUUCUCAUGGAGGAAACUUUGGACUGCUGAUGAGAAGAUGCGCUCUCAGUUAUGUUGAUGGUAUCAGAUUUGUCCAUAAAAGAGAAGAGAAAAGGAUAGGAAGGAAUAUGGAGAUGACACACCCGGCAAGCAAAAGAUAUUAGAAAAUUGCAACCGAGUGGAGUUCGAAUAGCUUUGAAGCUUGUAAAUUUGAUGAAGCCAAGCCAACAACCGCUAGAGCUGGGUGGUUUGCUUUGAAAGGUAUGCAAUUUAUGUCUGAAGCUGAUCUGUCUAGCGUGGAGUGGUCUACCCAUUUUUGUAGAUCUUCUCUAUCUCGCUUCGUGUCAACUCGCCUGAAAAGUCUUCCCUCUCCAGCUCGCUCUGCUGUAGUUUGCUAGAGAGGUCUUCCCUCUCCAGCUCACUCUACAACAACUUGCUAGAGCCCAGCAUACGUCGUUCCACGACACUUGACACUUGACACUUGACAGAUUUUGAUUAUAUACAUUACACUAAUUAAACAYGAGAUGGACCUAAUUGAUCUUAAUAGUCUAAUGACCUCUCUCUGAUCUAUUCAUCAAAUAGUCGUGUUGGAGUCUUUCAUCUACAUCCCUAUUUAAAAAAACAAUAAUUUAUAAUUAAUAAAUUAGCUUAUAUUUAAUUCAUUAGAUUGAGUAAAGGGCAAUUUUGUCACAAAAUUUAUAGCCAAAAAAGUUAUAAUGAAAAAACUUUACAUAUCCUAAAUUUGUAUUUUCUAACUUUUUACAUUAUUAAAUAAUAAAUUGAGUUAAGAAAAUUGUAGGGAGAGAAAUGAUAGAAUUUUUUAGAGAUAAAAAAAUAAUUUGUAGAAAAUAUUUAAAAAGGGAGACAAAAUUACUGAGAGAAAAGAGGAGAAUUUAGACGGGUAGGAUCCUGAGGGAGAGAGGAGAGAAAUUGAGGGAGAUAAAAUUUGUAUUUAAAUACACAAAUGGCCAUCAAAUGAAUAAUGGAAAGGGUUAAAACGCGCGGCAUAGAUAAAUUUUCUUAUAAUAGUGACUUUUAUAUAUAUUAUAGAUAUAGAUAUAAAUAUUUAAUAAUUAAUAAUUAAUUCAAAAUCUCCAAAUAGUGGAUAUUAGUUAUUGCUGAGCUAUACUCGUACGAUAGAAAUAAGAAGUUACCGUAAAUCACGAGUCAAAAAAUAGAGGAAGAGAUGAAGAAUAUAUUCCAAUCCCAUCCUAUUUAUUUAUUAUUAUUAUUAUUAUUAUUUUGUUUUGACAUACAAAUGUUUUUUUAGUCAUCAUUACAUUUUAG